CGGCAGCACAGGCCAAUAGGCAAUUAGCGCGCGCCGGGCGGCCUUCCCCGCGCGGGACCCGGGAGGUCUGAACGGAAGUUCGACCCCUCGGCGACCCGACGGCGAGACCCCGCCCCAUCCCCGACUACCUGAACCGCGCCAGGAGACGGAGCGCAAGUCCAGCGUACCCGCUGACGACUCAGGCGGGAGACGAGAGGUAUCAUGGCCGCCGACAGUGACGAUGGCGCAGUUUCAGCUCCCGCAGCUUCCGACGGUGAGCGGCUUCCCAGAGGUGGUGUCAGCAAAAGCACAACAUCUGGGGAGGAGCUGGUAGUCCAGGUUCCCGUAGUGGAUGUGCAAAGCAACAACUUCAAGGAGAUGUGGCCAUCCCUCCUGCUAGCCAUAAAGACAGCUAAUUUCGUGGCUGUGGACACGGAGCUGAGUGGGCUUGGGGACAGGAAGAGUUUGCUGAACCAGUGCAUCGAGGAACGUUACAAGGCCGUGUGUCAUGCUGCCAGGACCCGUUCUAUCCUUUCCCUGGGCCUCGCCUGCUUCAAGCGGCAGCCAGACAAGGGUGAACAUUCCUAUCUGGCUCAAGUGUUCAAUCUCACUCUGCUGUGCAUGGAGGAGUAUGUCAUAGAACCAAAGUCUGUGCAGUUCCUGAUACAGCAUGGCUUCAACUUCAACCAGCAGUAUGCCCAAGGCAUCCCCUACCAUAAGGGCAAUGAUAAGGGUGAUGAGAGCCAGAGCCAGUCAGUACGGACUCUAUUCCUGGAGCUAAUCCGAGCCCGCCGGCCCCUGGUGCUACACAAUGGCCUUAUAGACUUGGUGUUCCUGUACCAGAACUUCUAUGCACACCUCCCUGAGAGUCUGGGAACCUUCACCGCUGACCUGUGUGAGAUGUUCCCAGCAGGCAUUUAUGACACCAAAUAUGCUGCUGAGUUUCAUGCCCGUUUCGUGGCCUCCUACUUAGAAUAUGCCUUCCGGAAAUGUGUUUUAGGUGCUGAGGAUUCAG
rnacentral:sRNA from 1 species